rnacentral:rRNA from 1 species
UCAGGACGAACGCUGGCGGCGUGCUUAACACAUGCAAGUCGAACGAGGAUAAGCCAGAGGAGAGCUUCGGCAGGAAUCGGGCAUAUUCGAGUGGCGGACGGGUGAGUAACGCGUGAGCAACCUGUCCCAGACAGGGGGAUAACACUUGGAAACAGGUGCUAAUACCGCAUAAGACCACGGUAUCACAUGGUAGUGGGGUAAAAGGAGCAAUCCGGUUUGGGGUGGGCUCGCGUCCGAUUAGAUAGUUGGUGAGGUAACGGCCCACCAAGUCGACGAUCGGUAGCCGACCUGAGAGGGUGAUCGGCCACAUUGGAACUGAGAGACGGUCCAAACUCCUACGGGAGGCAGCAGUGGGGAAUAUUGGGCAAUGGGCGAAAGCCUGACCCAGCAACGCCGCGUGAGUGAAGAAGGCCUUCGGGUUGUAAAGCUCUGUUAUAGUUGACGAAGGAAGUGACGGUAGGCUAUAAGGAAGCCCCGGCUAACUACGUGCCAGCCGCCGC